rnacentral:rRNA from 1 species
GAUGAACGCUGGCGGCGUGCCUAAUACAUGCAAGUCGAACGAAACUUCUUUAUCACCGAGUGCUUGCACUCACCGAUAAAGAGUUGAGUGGCGAACGGGUGAGUAACACGUGGGCAACCUGCCCAAAAGAGGGGGAUAACACUUGGAAACAGGUGCUAAUACCGCAUAACCAUAGUUACCGCAUGGUAACUAUGUAAAAGGUGGCUAUACUACCGCUUUUGGAUGGGCCCGCGGCGCAUUAGCUAGUUGGUAGGGUAAAGGCUUACCAAGGCAAUGAUGCGUAGCCGAAUUGAGAGGUUGAUCGGCCACAUUGGGACUGAGACACGGCCCAAACUCCUACGGGAGGCAGCAGUAGGGAACCUUCCACAAUGGGCGAAAGCCUGAUGGAGCAACGCCGCGUGGGUGAAGAAGGUCUUCGGAUCGUAAAACCCUGUUGUUAGAGAAGAAAGUGCGUGAGAGUAACUGUUCACGUUUCGACGGUAUCUAACCGGAAAGCCACGGCUAACUACGUG